CCCCACCUACCGCAGGCAGGAAGCUUCUAGUACACCUCUCUUCUUUCUCAGAUAGUCAGGUGUAUUGUGGUCGUCCUCUCUUUUUUCUUAGGUGUGUGGUCGUGAGGAGAAGAGGCACUGCAUCCCAGCCUCUGGCAGUCUGGCGGCACUGCAUCCAACCUCGUUUUUAGGAGAUAUAUGUGCGAGCAAAGACCAAAGUCCAAGUAGGAGAGAGCUCACCAGGCCAACAAAUGCUCACGGAAUCAGGGAAUAAUCACCGGUGGCAUAGGCAAGGGCAAUGGCUGUUCGUCGACAACAUCUUAAGGUGGGACCUAUAAAUAGUUAGAUAUAUGUAUGAUCAGCUUUACAAUGCUUAUGAUUUGUACUUGAAAGUAGAUAUGUCAAUUGAUAACUCUUAGGUGCCCUUCCAAUUUUUUUUAGUUGAAAAUUUUGUACUAAGUUUUCAAAUUGAGAUAUCACUAGAAACCUGGCGCGACUUUGUCGCGCCCUCUGGUGAGAUUAGCUAGUGUUAUGCGGUGGCAAAACAAUAAGCAUCACAAUACCAUUUCAUUUUUUGGAUGUGAAUUCAGAUUAUUUUUGAACAGAGGUAUACACAUUUGAGAUA